rnacentral:rRNA from 1 species
CCUACGGGAGGCUGCAGUGAGGAAUAUUGGUCAAUGGACGAGAGUCUGAACCAGCCAAGUAGCGUGAAGGAUGACUGCUCUAUGGGUUGUAAACUUCUUUUAUAUGGGAAUAAAAUGUUCCACGUGUGGGAUUUUGUAUGUAGCAUAAGUAUGAGGCUCGGCUAACGCUGGGCCAGCAGCCGCGGUAAUACGGAGGAUCCGAGCGUUAUCCGGAUUUAUUGGGUGGAAAGGGAGCGUAGGUGGAUUGUCAAGUCAGUUGUGAAAGUUGGGGGCUCAACCGAGAAAUUGCAGUUGAACCUGGGGUUCUAGAGUGCAGGAGAGGUAAGGGGAA